rnacentral:rRNA from 1 species
AGAUCCAAUUUUCUGCCACCGAAUACAUUAGCAUGGGAUAAUGGAAUAGGACCCUGURAAUAUUUUCAGUUGGUUUUGGCAGCGCGAGGACUAGGGUAAGAUUAAUAGGGAUAGUUGGGGGCAUUAAUAUUUAAUUGUCAGAGGUGAAAUUCUUGGAUUUAUGAAAGAUUAACUUCUGCGAAAGCAUCUGCCAAGGAUGUUUUCAUUAAUCAAGAACGAAAGUUAGGGGAUCGAAGACGAUCAGAUACCGUCGUAGUCUUAACCAUAAACGAUGCCGACCAGCGAUUAGGAGACGUUGAAUACAAAACACCACCAUCGGUGCGGUCAUCCUUGGCGUUGGUCUUGCAAAAGGCCAGCGCGGGGGUGGCUUAGCCCGGUGGCACCGGUGAAUGACUCCCCUAGCAGCUUGUGAGAA